rnacentral:rRNA from 1 species
UACGUAGGGUGCGAGCAUUGUCCGGAAUUAUUGGGCGUAAAGAGUUCGUAGGCGGCAUGAAAAGUAGGGUGUGAAAGCCCUCGGCUCAACCGAGGAAUUGCGCUCUAAACUGUCGUGCUAGAGGAACCUAGAGGUGAGCAGAACUGAUGGUGGAGCGGUGAAAUGCGUUGAUAUCGUAAGGAACACCUGUGGCGAAAGCGGCUUACUGGGUCUUUUCUGACGCUGAUGCACGAAAGCUAGGGGAGCAAACGGG